AAUCAACGCUGGCGGCGUGCCUCAGACAUGCAAGUCGAACGCGAAAGUCCCCUUCGGGGGGACAAGUAGAGUGGCGCACGGGUGAGUAACACGUAGGUAAUCUACCUUCGGAUGGGGAAUAACAACCGGAAACGGUUGCUAAUACCGCAUAAUGCAGCGGCACCUAAUGGUGACAGUUGUUAAAGCGGGGGGAUCGUAAGACCUCGCGUCUGAAGAGGAGCCUGCGGCGGAUUAGCUAGUGGUAGGGUAACGGCCUACCAAGGCGACGAUCCGUAGCCGGCCUGAGAGGGGCGGGUCGGCCACACUGACACUGACAUACGGGUCAGACUCCUACGGGAGGC
rnacentral:rRNA from 1 species